rnacentral:rRNA from 1 species
AAGCGGAGGAAAAGAAACCAACAGGGAUUGCCCUAGUAACGGCGAGUGAAGCGGCAACAGCUCAAAUUUGAAAUCUGGCCUCGGCCCGAGUUGUAAUUUGCAGAGGAUGUUUCUGGCGCGGUGCCUUCCGAGUUCCCUGGAACGGGACGCCACAGAGGGUGAGAGCCCCGUAUGGUUGGACACUAAGCCUGUGUGAAACUCCUUCGACGAGUCGAGUAGUUUGGGAAUGCUGCUCAAAAUGGGAGGUAAAUCUCUUCUAAAGCUAAAUACCGGCCAGAGACCGAUAGCGCACAAGUAGAGUGAUCGAAAGAUGAAAAGCACCUUGAAAAGGGGGUUAAACAGUACGUGAAAUUGUUGAAAGGGAAGCGCUUGUGACCAGACUUGCGCCGGGCGGCUCAUCCGGGGUUUUCCCCGGUGCACUCCGCCCGGCUCAGGCCAGCAUCGGUUCUCGUUGGGGGAUAAGAACGGCAGGAACGUGGCCCUCCUUCGGGUGGGUGUUAUAGCCUGCCGUACGAUACCCUGACGGGGACCGAGGUUCGCGCUCCGCAAGGAUGCUGGCGUAAUGGUCAUCAGCGACCCGUCUUGAAACACGGACCAAGGAGUCGUCCAUUAGAGCGAGCGUUUGGGUGUCAAACCCGCACGCGUAAUGAAAGUGAAAUUAGGUGAGAGCUUCGGCGCAUCAUCGACCGAUCCUGAUGUUCUCGGAUGGAUUUGAGUAAGAGUUUUAACGGACGGACCCGAAAGACAGUGAACUAUGCUUGUAUAGGGUGAAGCCAGAGGAAACUCUGGUGGAGGCUCGCAGCGGUUCUGACGUGCAAAUCGAUCGUCAAAUAUGAGCAUGGGGGCGAAAGACUAAUCGAA